rnacentral:rRNA from 1 species
GGGUGAGUAAUGCCUGGGAAUUUGCCCAUUUGUGGGGGAUAACAGUUGGAAACGACUGCUAAUACCGCAUACGCCCUACGGGGGAAAGCAGGGGACCUUCGGGCCUUGCGCUGAUGGAUAAGCCCAGGUGGGAUUAGCUAGUAGGUGAGGUAAAGGCUCACCUAGGCGACGAUCCCUAGCUGGUCUGAGAGGAUGAUCAGCCACACUGGGACUGAGACACGGCCCAGACUCCUACGGGAGGCAGCAGUGGGGAAUAUUGCACAAUGGGGGAAACCCUGAUGCAGCCAUGCCGCGUGUGUGAAGAAGGCCUUCGGGUUGUAAAGCACUUUCAGCGAGGAGGAAAGGGUGUAAGUUAAUACCUUACAUCUGUGACGUUACUCGCAGAAGAAGCACCGGCUAACUCCGUGCCAGCAGCCGCGGUAAUACGGAGGGUGCGAGCGUUAAUCGGAAUUACUGGGCGUAAAGCGUGCGCAGGCGGUUUGUUAAGCGAGAUGUGAAAGCCCCGGGCUCAACCUGGGAACCGCAUUUCGAACUGGCAAACUAGAGUCUUGUAGAGGGGGGUAGAAUUCCAGGUGUAGCGGUGAAAUGCGUAGAGAUCUGGAGGA